ensembl:lncRNA
GAACAAUGGGUUCGAUGGGGGUACAGUUUUCAAAACUGGAAGAGGAACAGAAAUGAGGAGAAAGAAACAGGUGUAUAAAGAUACGUGUCCUAGGCAAGAUCUGAUUCUUUAUUAUUAUUUUUUUGGCCAUGCCACAUAAUAUGUGGGAUCUUAAUUCUCCCACCAGGGAUCGAACCCGCUCCCCAUGCUUUGGAAGUGUAAUCUGAACCCCAGGACCACCAGGGAAGUCCUGCCUGUUUAUUAUUUUUAAGGCACAGAUGUGGAAAUGGGUAGUAAAUAAAUCUCAAACAUAUUCUUUGUGCUAUUUGCCCAUAAAACGUGUGAUAAAGAAGCAGCAUAAAACUGUCACGGGAGAGAGAUGUUGAGUUUUCUAAGGAUUUAAAAAGAUUUGUGCCACAUCGUCUACUCCUCAUCAGCACGUCUGAUGGAGACCUGGACGUGUUGAUUGUCGAGAAAACAGGAGACAGGAAGUCAGCUUUAUGGUCUUUUUUUUUCUCCUGGGACAAGCCAUCUCACUUGCUUUUCUUUGAGUUUUGAUGACUAAAAUGAGGGAGACAGCAUUGGCCUAUGACUCAAAGGGACCAGGAAGCCUGAUAAAACUGGGAACCUGAUUUUGAGGUCACCGAAGGCUCAUCUCCCGCUUCCUCUGUCCACUUGAGAGCGUCUGACCUUCCUCAAGGCGGAAACCAGAACAUCCCUCUCCAAGCAUGACAUACGUCUCUCCAUGGAGUAAGGACUGCCCCCUUCCCCAAUGUUAAAUCUGUGUAACUUCUAUAAAUUUUUGUACCGUGUUAUUUAGUCCAUGAUUAGAGUUCCUCUUGUGAAUCAAUUUUUCUUCCAUUAUAUUUUCUAAUUGCUUUCUUCCUGGGAAACUAUUGAUCUUUGUAUAUUUGUGGUAGGGUUUUCCAGGUGGCUCAGUGGUAAUGAAUCUGCCUGUCAAUGCAGGAGUCCCAGGGUGGUCUAGGAAAAUCUCUUGGAGAAGGAAAUGGCACUCACUCCAGUAUUCUUGCCUGGAAAAGUCCAUGGAUGGAGUAGCCUUGUGGGCUUCAGACUGAUUGACUCAGCACACUCACAUACAUCUAGGAAUCUCUCAGUGUUCAUGUCAUUUUCUGAUUGGAUUCUGGUCUAAAUUUGGCCAGAGAGAUUGGGCGAUCCAUAGAAGACCUGACAUUCUCUUUGCUCAAACAGUCGUCUUGUAACUUUGAAGACUUCUAGAUGGAAUGGUGGACUUCCUGGACGCUCAGCUGUUAAAGAAUCCAUCUGCAAUGCAGAAGAGCCUGGUUCAAUACCAAGUUCAGCAGAUCUUCACCUUUUACAAGUAUGAUACUCCUACGUGGACCCCUUACAAUUCUAUGGUGUCUCUCAGCAAAUUCAGAACAGCUGGAAAUAAUUGCACGCCUAAGAGAGAGAAAUCGUUUCAGGGAGUCUACCAAACCUGGGUCUGAUUAGUGCACGCCUGCCUCUUGGAGACAGUGAUCUGGAGUCGGGGUGCAAUAAUAAUGGCUAAUAAGAGCAAACAGUAUUUUGUAAUUACUACGUGCCAGGAGCCGUGCUAAAUGCACAAUGAUCUAAUUUAUUCCUCACAGCCUCCCCUUGAGGUGGGUAGGAAGUCGCAGACCUGAGUAGUUACGUAGCUUGCUUAUGGUCUUGUACUGGGGAGGGUAACACCGUCUGGAACAGGGACAAUUUCUUGGCGAAUGAAUAGGAGCAAAAAGUUCUGUUGCAUAAGCUGGCUGUCUGAUGAGGGCAGGUGGAAGGUGCAGUUAGGUGGCCAGUAACUGGGUGAGAAAACGAAGAGGACAACCCAAAGACUGGAGUCGGAGGACUCCCUAGCAGGUAUCCAGGAUUAAAAGCUUCUUCCCGAUUGUGAUAUUCCUGCCAGAUAAAGAACCAGCCUUAAUUCUUUACCAAACAGUUCUUUCUCUUUGGGGACAGCUGCGACUGUUGGUCUUUUUCCUCCUUCUGGGCUAAGACCCAGUUUCCCUGGUGGCGCAGUGGUAAAGAAUCCACCUGCCAAUGCAAGAGAUGCAAAAGAUGUGGGUUCGAUCCCUGGGGCGAGAAGAUCCUCUGGAGGAGGAAAUGGCGCCCCACUCCAGGAUUCUUGCCUGGAGAAUCCCGUGGACAGAGGAGGCUGGCGGGCUGCAGUCCAUGGGGUCGCAACAGUACAUUUGCACAGCAGCCUGCUCUCUGGUGUUGACAUGAUAAAUAUAACGUCUUU